GACGAACGCUGGCGGCGUGCUUAACACAUGCAAGUCGAACGGAAAGGCGCUGCUUUUGUGGCGUUCUCGAUAGGCGAACGGGGGAGUAACACGUGUGUAACAUGCACUUAUCUUUGGGGUAACAUCAGGAAACAGGGGCUCUUACCGGAUAGGAUCUUCUGCUGCAUGGUGGUCGUUGGUGAGAUUCGGCGGUGGGGGCUGGAAUAGCGGGUUAUGAGCUGGUUUGUCGGGUAGUGGCUUACCAAGGGUUUGAAGGGUAGGCCGCCUGAGAGGGGGAACGGGCACAAUGGGCCUGAGAUACGGAGCAGACGCGUACGGGAGGCAGCAGUGGGGAGUAUGGCACAACGGGCGGACGCGUGAUGCAGCAACGCCGCGUGCGGGAUGCCGGCCUUCGGGUUGUAAACCGAUUUGGACGGAGACGAAGCGUGAGUGACGGUAAUGAGUAAAGAAGCAACGGCUAACUACGUG
rnacentral:rRNA from 1 species